rnacentral:rRNA from 1 species
ACCCUACGGGACGCAGCAGUGAGGAAUAUUGGUCAAUGGGCGGAAGCCUGAACCAGCCAAGUCGCGAGAGGGAAUAAGGCCCUACGGGUCGUAAACCUCUUUUGCCGGGGAGCAAGGGCGGGGACGUGUCCCGGCCCGGAGAGUACCCGGAGAAAAAGCAUCGGCUAACUCCGUGCCAGCAGCCGCGGUAAUACGGAGGAUGCGAGCGUUAUCCGGAUUUAUUGGGUUUAAAGGGUGCGUCGGCGGGCUUUUAAGUCAGCGGUAAAAAUUCGGGGAUCAACCCCGUCCGGGCGUUGCAGCUGGGG